rnacentral:rRNA from 1 species
UACGUAGGGUGCGAGCGUUGUCCGGAUUUAUUGGGCGUAAAGGGCUCGUAGGCGGCUUGUCGCGUCUGCUGUGAAAACGCGAGGCUCAACCUCGCGCCUGCAGUGGGUACGGGCAGACUAGAGUGCGGUAGGGGAGAUUGGAAUUCCUGGUGUAGCGGUGGAAUGCGCAGAUAUCAGGAGGAACACCGAUGGCGAAGGCAGAUCUCUGGGCCGUAACUGACGCUGAGGAGCGAAAGCGUGGGGAGCGAACAGG